rnacentral:rRNA from 1 species
AUUGAACGCUGGCGGCAGGCCUAACACAUGCAAGUCGAGCGAGCGGCGGACGGGUGAGUAAUGUAUGGGGAUCUGCCCGAUCGAGGGGGAUAACUCCUGGAACCGGUGGCUAAUACCGCAUACUAUCGGAUGAACCCACAUUGGUUUAGCUAGUAGGUGGGGGAAAGGCUCACAUAGGCGACGAUCGCUAGCUGGUCUGAGAGGAUGAUCAGCCACACUGGGACUGAGAAACGGCCCAGACGCCUACGGGAGGCAGCAGUAGGGAAUAUUGCACAAUGGGCGAAAGCCUGAUGCAGCCAUGCCGCGUGUAUGAAGAAGGCCUUAGGGUUGUAAAGUACUUUCAGCGGGGAGGCGUUACCCGCAGAAGAAGCACCGGCUAACUCCGUGCCAGCAGCCGCGGUAAUAC